GAGUCGGUGUAACAUUUCAGAGAGCAACAGAGCUCGAGGUGUUUUUAGGAGCCGUCAACUCCUCCCAUAUCCUCUGCUCACUCACUCAAAAGAAACUUUCUGCUCGCUCAUGUCACUAGCUAGUUACCUGAUCUCUUCUUCUGGGGUGUGGAAAAUCCACUCCACAGGCUGAUGUGUGGGCAGACACCUGUCAUCACAGUCAGACAGAGAGAAGUCUGUUUUGAUCCUCUGAUAAGCUCCGAACAUCUUCCAGAUCAAGAGUGGCUGAGACAACCUCCUACAAGUCGGAAGAAAUCUGACUGAUCAAUCACAGUCACUUGGGCGAGUUUCAAUAUUCAAGUAAGUGUGAAUUGGCACAUACUACAUC